rnacentral:rRNA from 1 species
UACGUAGGGUGCAAGCGUUGUCCGGAAUUAUUGGGCGUAAAGAGCUCGUAGGCGGUCUGUCGCGUCUGCUGUGAAAACUCAGGGCUUAACCCUGAGCUUGCAGUGGGUACGGGCAGACUAGAGUGCGGUAGGGGAGACUGGAAUUCCUGGUGUAGCGGUGAAAUGCGCAGAUAUCAGGAGGAACACCGGUGGCGAAGGCGGGGUCUCUGGGCCGUAACUGACGC